rnacentral:rRNA from 1 species
CCUACGGGAGGCAGCAGUGGGGAAUAUUGCGCAAUGGGCGAAAGCCUGACGCAGCGACGCCGCGUGAGGGAUGAAGGUCUUCGGAUCGUAAACCUCUGUCAGCAGGGAAGAACGGUCACUGUGCUAAUCAGCAGUGAAUUGACGGUACCUGCAAAGGAAGCACAGGCCAACCCCGUGCCAGCAGCCGCGGUAAAACGGAGGGGGGGAGCGUUAAUCGGAAUUACUGGGCGUAAAGGGGUCGUAGGCGGUAUGUCAAGUCAAGGGGGAAAGCCCCGCGCUCAACGUGGGAACUGCCUUUGAAACUGGCAAACUGGAGUUGGUGAGAGGAUAGUGGAAUUCGAGGUGUAGGAGUGAAAUCCGUAGAUAUCUGGAGGAACAUCAGUGGCGAAGGCGACUAUCUGGCACAUAACUGACGCUGAGGAGCGAAAGCGUGGGUAGCAAACAGGAUUAGAUACCCGAGUAGUC